UUUUUGCGACUGAAGGCAGCCACGGGCAUCACCCGGAAUCCUGAGGAGGAACCAUGGAAACGAUGCAGAAUUUUAGACACCUGCUUCUAGACUUUAUUAAGGCUACAUGCUUGGCAAUGUAAAAGUCGAAUUUAUGCUUGAUAUAUAGAUAUAGAUAUAUAUAUAUGUAUAUAUGCCAGCUAUAGGACUGGCCCACGUGUAAAUUAAACAAAGACGAGACCCUCGA